GACGAACGCUGGCGGCGUGCUUAACACAUGCAAGUCGAACGGAAAGGCCCUGCUUUUGUGGGGUGCUCGAGUGGCGAACGGGUGAGUAACACGUGAGUAACCUGCCCUUGACUUUGGGGUAACCUCAGGAAACUGGGGCUAAUACCGGAUAGGAGCUCCUGCUGCAUGGUGGGGGUUGGAAAGUUUCGGCGGUUGGGGAUGGACUCGCGGCUUAUCAGCUUGUUGGUGGGGUAGUGGCUUACCAAGGCUUUGACGGGUAGCCGGCCUGAGAGGGUGACCGGCCACAUUGGGACUGAGAGACGGCCCAGACUCCUACGGGAGGCAGCAGUGGGGAAUAUUGCACAAUGGGCGGAAGCCUGAUGCAGCAACGCCGCGUGCGGGAUGACGGCCUUCGGGUUGUAAACCGCUUUCGCCUGUGACGAAGCGUGAGUGACGGUAAUGGGUAAAGAAGCACCGGCUAACUACGUG
rnacentral:rRNA from 1 species